GACGUAGGGCGCGAGCGUUGUCCGGAAUUAUUGGGCGUAAAGGGCUCGUAGGCGGUCUGUUGCGUCAGGAGUGAAAACUCGGGGCUUAACCCCGAGCCUGCUUCUGAUACGGGCAGACUGGAGGUAUGCAGGGGAGAACGGAAUUCCUGGUGUAGCGGUGAAAUGCGCAGAUAUCAGGAGGAACACCGGUGGCGAAGGCGGUUCUCCGGGCAUUACCUGACGCUGAGGAGCGAAAGUGUGGGGAGCGAACAGG
rnacentral:rRNA from 1 species